rnacentral:rRNA from 1 species
CUACGGAGGAUGCAAGCGUUAUCCGGAUUUAUUGGGUUUAAAGGGUGCGUAGGCGGACAGUCAAGCAGGGGGUGAAAUGCCGGCGCUCAACGCCGGAGCUGCCUUCUGGACUGGCUGUCUGGAGUGGCAGUGCCGUUGGAGGAAUGAGUGGUGUAGCGGUGAAAUGCUUAGAUAUCACUCAGAACACCGAUUGCGAAGGCAUCUGACGAACUGCCCACUGACGCUGAGGCACGAAAGCGUGGGGAUCAAACAGGAUUAGAUACCCUGGUAGUCCACGCAGUAAACGAUGAUGACUAACUGCCGGCCCGUUGCGGGUCGGUGGCCAAGCGAAAGCGAUAAGUCAUCCACCUGGGGAGUACGACCGCAAGGUUGAAACUCAAAUGAAUUGACGGGG